rnacentral:lncRNA from 1 species
GCCCUUAGAUUUGUUCCCUUCGGUUUGGGUGAGUUCACUGCCGCCUUCCAUACUCCCUUUGAUGUUCCAACGAACCUGACGCUCUGAUACCAAUUGUGACGAGACUGUAGCUCAAACACGACGAUCUGUCCAGCCUAGCGAACUUUCAAUGCCAAAGUUAGCUAGUCAGCCUACCCGGAAGCUUAGUAGAACUUAAGAAAGACUAAGCUUGUAGAAACUUGGCGAAGNNNN